rnacentral:rRNA from 1 species
ACGGGUGAGUAACGCGUGAGAAUCUGUCCUUUAGUGAAGUAUACCCCCGAGAAAUCGGGGCUAAUUCUGCAUAAGUCCCUUCGGGGAGAAAGGUGGCCUCUUUGCUGCCGCUAAAGGAGGAGCUUGCGUCCUAUUAGUUAGUUGGUAGGGUAAUGGCCUACCAAGACGAUGAUGGGUAACCGGCCUGAGAGGGCGUUCGGUCACACUGGAACUUAGACACGGUCCAGACUCCUACGGGAGGCAGCAGUGAGGAAUCUUGCGCAAUGGGCGAAAGCCUGACGCAGCGACGCCGCGUGGAGGAUGAAGGUCUUCGGAUUGUAAACUUCUGUUAAGUGGGAAGAAAGACGCAGAUUUAAUAGAUCUGCGGGAUGACGGUACCAUUAAAGAAAGCACCGGCUAAACUCGUGCCAGCAGCCGCGGUAAUACGAGUGGUGCAAGCGUUAUUCGGAAUGAUUGGGCGUAAAGGGUGCGCAGACGGUAUGCUAAGUCAACUGUUAAAUUUCCCGGCCUAACUGGGAGCCUGCAGUAGAUACUGGUAUGCUUGAGGGCGGAAGAGAGGAGUGGAAU